AAGUCUAUCACAGAUACCCAAUGUAAAAUGAAAAAGCCAGAUAUCAUAUUCAAUUAAUUGGAAUUAGAAUGCAAUACAAAAUUCAUGUCAAAUCUUUAGCGUGAAUUUCCAUGACUUACAUGUCACCCAAGUGUGAUUGGAAACAUAUUUUUCAAUCAAACUUAAUAAUCUCGCUAGAGAUUCACGAAUCAGAUCAUAAAAUAUUCUCUUGUUUUAUCGAAAGCGGAGAUCUCUUCUUGUACACUCACAUACCCAGAUAAAUCAAUCAAGCACUCUGAAGAUAUGUUAGGACCAUACGACAUAAUCUAAGAUCAACGGCGUACCCAUAGAGCAACCAUGAUGCCUCAUGUCUAAGGUGACAGGACCCGCCCCGAGAUUUCCCCAAAAUCGGGGCGAAUCCCGUCUUUGUUCCUACAUCAUCCCGAUGCCGGGCCCACCUAUAAGAAAUCGAGACUUUCUACCAAAAUUUUGGCAGAGUCUCCCCUGUAAUUUAAGCAAUCCCAACAAAAAUUUACUCAACCUGCAACAUACACACAAAUAUAAUUCCAACCAGCAGCAUGCUUUCAUACAUCUACAAGUUAUACUAGAGUGGCCUCCGGCCUCACAAGUAAAAUUUACCAUGGCAAUACAGAGCAUCUACUGAAUUUAGAUUCAAGAACAGUUGAGUAGAAGAAAUUACACAGUUCCUAAUUAGAAAGAUGCACAGAUUGAGCUUCGUACACCACUCGCACGCUUCCUGGAGUGACUACUGGUUGGGGGGGCGCAAAACAGAAAACAUGUGAGUGGACAAAAACCAGAUUUGCAGUUAAAAACAAUAUAGUAACCCCACCAUGUAAAAAUAAUGCUUAAGUCAUGCAGGUUCACAAUUCAAUAAUUAAUUACUCAAAACAUGUUUCA
rnacentral:lncRNA from 1 species